CCCCUCUCAGGGUCGCACUUGGAGAGUUUCCAGUAGUCUACCAGGCUCGGCUAUAGGAGGAAGAGCCAAGCAGAGGCCUACCCAUUCCAUUCCUAGCUUGGCCAGUGGCUAGUGAGUAGAAGGCAAUCUGCUCUAAGU